rnacentral:lncRNA from 10 species
UCCAUCAUGUCACCUUCCUUCAUAGGAGAAUCUGACUUUUUUUCAGGCAUUGCCCUCUCUCUCAUUCAGCUCAUGUGACUCAGGGGAAACACAGCUCCAUGGGUGGGCCCCUUCACACUAAAAAUAAUCCUAACCCCCCUUGUCCAUGAUUGGUUCAAGAGGUGCAUGUGAUUUUGUUCAGGCCAGUAGAAUGAGGCAUGGUUUUCUGGGGCUGCUUGAUCUGGUUUCCUUGGUCAUGACAAAGCUCUGGGAAGAGUCUUAAGGGAUGAGAUUGCUGCAGCCACUUUACCUUCUUCGGGAAGCUGAAGCUCCUACACAGAUGAAGGAAGGGAGCACCCAUUAUAUUCCCAAUGCUGGAUAUUCAAAGACAAAAGAAGCAGGCCCUGCCCAUAGUGAGCUUUUCGUGGAGUUGGGGAGAUCAUCUACAAGGCACAUGGAGCAUUCAGGACAGUAUCGCAUGCUGUGCCCAGCAGUGGAGGUAAGCGAGGGUGCUGUGGUGGCCCCAGAGGGUGCCUUCUCCACACUGGGAGAGUCAGCAAAGGCUCCCUGCAGGUGUCACUCCUGAGUUGAAAUGUGAAGGAUCAGUGGGGGUGGCUAUGACUGAGGUCAGGUGGUAUGAGACUGGGGAAGAGUGACGAGAGGAGAGCAGUGACCCAGGAAGAAGGACUGAGGCCAGAGAAAGGCAGUGACCCAGGAAGAAGGACUGAGGCCAGAGAAAGUAGCAUAUUCAGGAAACUGGAAAGUGGCUAUGGAAUCUUGCUCUGUUGCCAGGCUGGAGUGCAGUGGUGCAAUCUCAGCUCACUGCAACCUCUGCCUCCUGGGUUCAAGCAAUUCUCCUGCCUCAGCCUCCUGAGUAGCUGGGACUACAGGUGCGUGCCACCAUACCCAGCUAUUUUUUUGUAUUUUUAGUAGAGAUAGGGUUUCACUAUGUUGGCCAGGAUGGUCUCGAUCUCUUGCCGUCGUGAUCUGCCCACCUCAGCCUCCCAAAGUGCUGUGAUUACAGGUGUGAGCCACCAUGCCCAGCCAGCAUGAACAUUUUCUAACCCUUCGCUGACCACUGUGAGUUGGGCAGAGCUCCAACAGAUUGGAGAAUGUGAAUAUCCUGAAGGCAUGAAUAUCCUCCAGCAACUAGAACAGUGGCCAGCACAAGUGCUCAAAAAUGAAGGAAAGACUGAAUGAAUGCAUGAUGGGCAAUGGAAAUUGAUAAGCAGUGCCACAGUCCAGUUCUGGGUGGGUCGCGAGGGGGCCCAGAGUGCAGAUGGAGAGAGAGUUUAUCGUUGAGGAGGGCAAUCCCCCUUCUGGCACUGUGAGCGGCAAGUGGACGUAAGUGUGGCUGCCCUUGGAGAAGGGCAGGCUCAGAAGUACCUAGGUGCUUUUUCAGAAGGUAUGUUCCUGGAUUCUCCUGAAGAUACUCCUAAUCCCCAUCAUGGUGGCUAAGAUCUGGAAUUGGCAUUUUAAACAAACUCUUUAGGUGAUUUUUGAGGCAUGCCACUGGUACAAGGAGGCAAGAAGAGGUUGGAAAUUAGAUGGUCUCAUGCCAAAGAGGUUCCUGCAUCAACCCCCUCAGACUUCCUCAUCUGGGAUCACUCUCCCUGCUCCCAUUGCCACAGCCCUUGUUCAUAUUUCCCUUGAGGCACCUCCUGCAGCUGAGCCUUUGUUAGAAGUUUUGCCUGCAUGUCCUUCUUCUGAAGGAUGCUGUGAGCUUGUGCAGGGCCCGGACGAUGGCUUAUCCUUUUUGUAUUAUUCACAGCACCUAAUAUCUGUUGUGAAAUUACUUAAAGGAAAUAUUCCCUAGCCUGAAUUUUGACAAUACAGAGUCCCUCCCAUUAUCUCAAGGAGUCUGAAAACAAAAUUACACCAUCAUUUCACUUUAAAGAAUUCCAUACUCACAAAACACAGCCAAUCAAAAUAUGAUUAAAUGUUCAACCUUAUAAUUUUUGCUUGUCAAAUUGACUAGAAUAAAAAUAAAAGGUUGAAGAGGGCAUGGAUAAAUUGGAACUAUCAGAAGGACUGUAAAUUCAUACAAAUUGUCUUGAAUGCACUUUGGCAAGAUAUGUCAAGAGCUUUAAAAAGAAUUAUAUGCUUUGACCCAGUAAUUCUACUUUAUGAAAUUUUCAUAAGGAAACAAUCAGGGUCAUUGCUAUUGGUAAACAGUCUAAAUUUAGCAAAAGGGGGAGUGGUUAAAUAAAUUAGUGAAUAGAAAAACAUGCUUUUUAUUAUAUAUACACUGAAUAAGGAUUUAGAAAAAUGCUAACAUCACAGUAUGUGGAAAUGAUAUGAUAUAGAGCAUAUAUAAUAUAAUUCCUAUUUUAUAACAAGAAGUAUACAUCUCUGAGUGGUGGAAUAUUUUCCUUACUUAAGUACCUACCUAAUAUAUGAGGUAUGCUUUCUCUAUAUUUUCCAAAUUUUCUGCAGUUAACAUGCAUUGCUAUAAUAAUAAAACAGCUAAUAAAAUAUAUGUACAAUUUAAAUGCAUCCAGCAAUGAACUGCUUUUAACAGUGCCACCCCUCCAACUUCCCAUGGAAUUAUUCCCGUACUGUGGUUCUAACAUCUUUGCCUAGCAUAUUACUCCCCUGCUCAGAAUUCCUCAAUGGCCCCCCAUACCUAAAGGAUAAACCAUACACUCCUUAGCAAGGCAUACUAGGGCCCUUUAUGAUUUGUCCUUGAGCCACCUGUCCAGACUAACUCCUGGCUACUCCUUCCAAUUUCCCUCCUUAUACACAUCAGAGAUACCAUCUAGAGUUCCUUGGUCAUACCUUGCUGUCUGUCUGCCUGACUUUGCAUGGCCUGAUUCCUUUGCCUAGAAUUCCUCUCCUCCUUCAUGACUUCUUCAUUCAGCUUUCAAGCCAUUUUCCUAAAAUUUGACUCUCAAAACUUUAAAAAGAUUUAAGCAUUGCUCGGUGCACUCAUUGCACCUUUUAAAAUGUGAUACAACUGUUCAUUUCCCUAUCUGUUUUUCAUAAGACUGGAAGCUGUUUGAAGGCUGGAAUUAACUUUGUGAUUGGCACAUGGAAGGCCACCAGUAAAAUAUGUGCUGAAUAAAAGAAUUAGCACACAAAUUACCCAGAUCUUUGCAAAUGCUGUGUGGGUUAUGCUUUGUAUUAUAAACGGGACCCCUGUGAUCAGCAGGUGGUGGCGGACAUCCAGCCAGCCCUCCUCUCACCAAACCAGGCUUGCUGAAAGGCCAGGAAAGCAAGCAGUGCUAGUUCACUAGUUCAGAAAAAAGUGUCUGGUGUCAUGGGAAGUGCUAUGAACUUACUGUGCCAGAACCAAAGGAGGAAUGAGCUGGAGAUACUACAAAACUGUGGUUUAUCAGCUCAAGCAAUGUGUGUGUGUGUGUGUGUGUGUGUGUGUGUGUGUGUGUAUGUGUGUGUGUGUGUGUGUGGGGUAUGGUGUGUUCAAUUAUGGAGCAAAGCACAUCUGUUUUGAUAAAGAAAUCCUAGGCUUCGCAGUCACUUCAGGUCCUAACCCCACUCUCAAAAUCACCCCUAGGUUCUAAGUGUUUCUGGAGAAUAUCUUAAGUUAAUUUCUGACCAUUCACAUUUUUAUUUUCCCUGACUUGGUUUACUGUUGUAUUUGACAAGUUUGUGAAAAGUGGUCAGUAUUCUAAAUGUGAGAUGUUUUCUGCAUGGGGAAUGCUAUGAGUAAACUUGUAAAACCUCACGCAAAUUUCUGAGGCCAAAUGUGUGUGAGCAGAGUCUUUGGCACAGUGCAACUGGAAAUUUUAAGACAAUGGGAAACACUUUCUUACUACUACUACUGGAAAAAGCUUCCAGGUCUCGCUCUUUAGUUUAGACAGAUAGCUUUAAGCAGGUUAAAGUUAAUUGUCAGCUCCUUGACUGCAGGGAUUGUGUCCUGAAGAGCUUGAAGGAAGAGAGCAAACUUUGGAUUUGGAGUCAGAAUGACUGGGUUCCAUUGCGAGGGGUUCCAGCAAAGAGCAUUGCCUGUUUGAGAAAAUGUCAUGUUCCAGAAAAUAUUGAUUCAAAAAAGACUGAUGGACCAUCUGAAUGAAUAUGGAAGAAGUUUAAUUUUAACAAAUGCACUCGUGCUGAAGAUGGAGGAGAAAGAAUUUCAGAAAUAGAGGUCACAUUAAAAACAUGCAGAAGCAUGAAAAUUGUUACCAUAUUUCAAUUGCAACUGUAUUUUCUCCCCCUCUAAGGAAACAAGGCCUUCUGUAUUUUUGUUGCAUCUUUGACUAUUUGGGUGUUCCGUCAUAUUGACCCCUUACAUGACAUAACAAAGAAGAAUAAUGUAUAUUAGUCUCCAUCACGGCCAUGAGGACUAGUAUAAUGGGACACUGCAAAUAUCCUUUGACCACUGAUUAACUUCUUUUCUUCCCUUACUUGCUUAAUUAAAUGUCUACUUAACUUUCAGUAAUCAUACUCCACUUAGAGAAAAACCUCCUCACAAUGUGAACACCCACGUUCAUAGCAGAGCUAAGAGGUGGAAGCAACCCACGUGUCCACUAAUGGAUAAAUGCAUAAGAUAAAUGUGGUAUAUACAUAUUGGAAUAUUAUUCAGCUUUAAUAAAGAAGGAAGUUCUGACACAUGGUACAACAUGAAUGAACCUUGAAGACAUUAUGCCAAACCAGGCACAACAAGACAAAUACUAUAUGAUUCCAUUUAUAUGAGGUAUCCAGAGUCGUCAAAUUCGUAGAAACAGAAAAUCGAACAGUGGUCAUCAGGGGCCAGGGUGCAGGAGAAAUCAGCAGUUGUCAUUUAAUGGAUAUAGAGCUUCAGUUUUGCAAGAUGAAAAAGUUGUGAACGUUGGUUGCACAACAAAGUGAAUAUAUUUAACACUACUGAAUUAUACACUUAGACAUGGUUAAAAUGGCAAUUUUAUGUUACAUAUUUUUACCAUAAUAAAAAAAAUUUAAAGCCUG